GUUUGAUCCUGGCUCAGAUUGAACGCUGGCGGCAUGCUUUACACAUGCAAGUCGAACGGCAGCGGGGGCUUCGGCCUGCCGGCGAGUGGCGAACGGGUGAGUAAUGCAUCGGAACGUGCCCAUGUCGUGGGGGAUAACGUAGCGAAAGCUACGCUAAUACCGCAUACGCCCUGAGGGGGAAAGCGGGGGAUUCUUCGGAACCUCGCGCGAUUGGAGCGGCCGAUGUCGGAUUAGCUAGUAGGUGAGGUAAAGGCUCACCUAGGCGACGAUCCGUAGCGGGUCUGAGAGGAUGAUCCGCCACACUGGGACUGAGACACGGCCCAGACUCCUACGGGAGGCAGCAGUGGGGAAUUUUGGACAAUGGGCGCAAGCCUGAUCCAGCCAUGCCGCGUGAGUGAAGAAGGCCUCGGUU
rnacentral:rRNA from 1 species